UAGGACACUCUAUACGGAGUUACAAAGGACGACAUUAGACGAAUCAUCUGGAAAGAUGAAUCAAAGAAGGUAAUAAUCCUGUAGUCGAAAAUGUUGUCUCUCUUGAGUGGAUCCUGAGUACGACGGAGCACGUGAAAUUCCGUCGGAAUCUGGGAGGACCAUCUCCUAAGGCUAAAUACUCUCUAGUGACCGAUAGUGAACCAGUACCGUGAGGGAAAGGUGAAAAGCACCCCGGAAGGGGAGUGAAAUAGAACC
rnacentral:rRNA from 1 species